CUCUGCGUUCACACACAAACAGGAGUGUGAUGGGGAGACACAAACCCCUCCCCGUGUGUCUGUAACCUGCACCCAGCCCCAGGGACAGCGCCAGGUCUAGCAGACACCUCACUGCAUCUACAGGAAACAUGUGGGCUGGAUUCUGAUAUCAGCAGUCCCCGGGGUCAAUCCGGAGUCACCCCUGACUGCACUAGGGGAAGGGCCAGGUUCUGAUCUCAGCAGUGCCCAGGGUCAAUCCAGAGUCACUCCUGACUGCACUGGGUGCAGGGUGGAGUUCUGGUCUCAGUCCUCCAGGGUCAAUCGGGAGUCACCCCUGACUGCAAUGGGGAAAGGGCCAGGUUCUGAUCUCAGCUCCCCUGGGGUCAAGCCAGAGUCACUCCUGACUGCAUUGGGGGUAGGGCUGGGUUCUGGUCUCAGCACCCAGUCAAAUCUUUUAAGCUCCUGGCUGGGGUCAGAAGCCUCCUCUACUCUGUGGGGCUAUUCCCCCUGGUGACCUACUUCUUGUUUCUUGUUCAGUUUGGCUCCUGGUUUGACCACGUCAAGGGCUGGCUAGGGCUGGGGGGCCAUGAGAACAACUUCUGGAUCAGCGACGAGGAGCUGCAGCAGAUGGGGCAGGAGGGAGAUGGAGGGGAGCCUAGCAGGGGACGGGGGCUGGGGACCUGGGGCUGGGGUACAGUCUAGCAUGUCCCUGGAUAGUAUGUGGGGGGAAUCCCAACUGGGAGUGGGUAGAAGCUGGCGGGGGGGGGGUGUCAGAGGGGCUGCAA